UACGUAGGGUGCAAGCGUUGUCCGGAAUUAUUGGGCGUAAAGAGCUCGUAGGCGGUCUGUUGCGUCGGCUGUGAAAACCCGGGGCUCAACCCCGGGCCUGCAGCCGAUACGGGCAGACUAGAGUUCGGCAGGGGAGACUGGAAUUCCUGGUGUAGCGGUGAAAUGCGCAGAUAUCGGGAGGAACACCGGUGGCGAAGGCGGUUCUCUGGGCCUUACCUGACGCUGAGGAGCGAAAGCGUGGGGAGCGAACAGG
rnacentral:rRNA from 1 species